GGGUGGGGGGGUGGGGAGAGAGUUUUUGGUUUUUACAUUGCAACAGAAUUCCUUGCAUAGCAGAGCUCAGGAAAAAAGGCCCUAUUUGAGGACAAAGGUCAGGGCUUUAGAGUUCAGGCCCAUUUGCAGAGGGCUAGGCCCUUCUUUGCUAAUCCCAAAUUUGCCUGACAAGCCUCUGCACUGAUGUAUGUGGAAUGAACUCUGUCAGGACAAGUGAUUUCAUCUAGUCUUCAAGUUACAUCUUCUCCCACCUUGAAACUAUCACCUACAGGUGGGCUUUGACAGGAGGAGAGCUCCUUGGAAUCAGCCAAGCUCUUCACUGAAGUCCAAAGGAGGUUGAGUUACCCAUAUUCCCUGGAGCCACUUUGGACUGCUUCCGAGAAUAGCUUCAUGGCGCAGUAGGCAAAGGGGCAGCAUUACACCCAAGACCUCAUCACCCAAUUUCCUCGUCGGUUCUGGAAAGACAGUUUUGGGGAUUCACACCCAGUGGAAGAAUGGGAGGCACUAGGUCACAGAAUAGAGGUCUGCUCCUUGUCCAGGCAGUUCCCCUCUGCCUGGUGACAGGCUCUUAGAGAAACAUCUUAAUAAAAGAGUUCUGAGCAGCUUGGCAACCUUCCAACCUUCCUUGUACGAGAGACAAAAAUGUUGUCCUGACAAAAAUGUUUAGGUAAUUUCUUAGCACAUUCACCACUUGUAGACCCCAAAGUAUUACAAGUGGUGGAACUCUUGAGAGAGAAAAAAUAAAGCCCUUAAAAAUUGU
rnacentral:sRNA from 1 species